AUUGAACGCUGGCGGCAGGCCUAACACAUGCAAGUCGAGCGGAUGAAGGGAGCUUGCUCCUGGCUUCAGCGGCGGACGGGUGAGUAAUGCCUAGGAAUCUGCCUGGUAGUGGGGGAUAACGUCCGGAAACGGGCGCUAAUACCGCAUACGUCAUGAGGGAGAAAGUGGGGGAUCUUCGGACCUCACGCUAUCAGAUGGGCCUAGGUCGGAUUAGCUAGUUGGUGGGGUAAAGGCCUACCAAGGCGACGAUCCGUAACUGGUCUGAGAGGAUGAUCAGUCACACUGGAACUGAGACACGGUCCAGACUCCUACGGGAGGCAGCAGUGGGGAAUAUUGGACAAUGGGCGAAAGCCUGAUCCAGCCACGCCGCGUGUGUGAAGAAGGUCUUCGGAUUGUAAAGCACUUUAAGUUGGGAGGAAGGGCAGUAAGUUAAUACCUUGCUGUUUUGACGUUACCAACAGAAUAAGCACCGGCUAACUUCGUG
rnacentral:rRNA from 1 species